AUGCUCGCUUCGGCAGCACAUAUGCUAAAAUUGGAACGAAACAGAGAUUAGCGUGGCCCCUGCGCAAGGAUGACACACAAAUCCGUGAAGCCUUAACUUAAAAA